GAUGAACGCUGGCGGCGUGCCUAAUACAUGCAAGUCGAGCGAACGGAUGAGAAGCUUGCUUCUCUGAUGUUAGCGGCGGACGGGUGAGUAACACGUGGAUAACCUACCUAUAAGACUGGGAUAACUUCGGGAAACCGGAGCUAAUACCGGAUAAUAUUUUGAACCGCAUGGUUCAAAAGUGAAAGACGGUCUUGCUGUCACUUAUAGAUGGAUCCGCGCUGCAUUAGCUAGUUGGUAAGGUAACGGCUUACCAAGGCAACGAUGCAUAGCCGACCUGAGAGGGUGAUCGGCCACACUGGAACUGAGACACGGUCCAGACUCCUACGGGAGGCAGCAGUAGGGAAUCUUCCGCAAUGGGCGAAAGCCUGACGGAGCAACGCCGCGUGAGUGAUGAAGGUCUUCGGAUCGUAAAACUCUGUUAUUAGGGAAGAACAUAUGUGUAAGUAACUGUGCACAUCUUGACGGUACCUAAUCAGAAAGCCACGGCUAACUACGUA
rnacentral:rRNA from 1 species